rnacentral:lncRNA from 1 species
GAAGCCUUAUCUGCACCCCGGAAGGAAAAGAAUAGGUAUCCCUAAGAGCGUUCAGCUCCUCUAAAGUCAUGAUAUUAGUUUUUUCCUCUAUUGAGGGAUGAAUGGCGAUCAAAGGACUCUCCUCAGGUGAACCCUCCAUGGGCGACGACGGCGAUUGAUUUACCUCGUCAGCCAUAUAGGGGGAGCCUUCUCCUAAAUGGUCGGAUAUCCACGAAGGUAACGAAUCUAGGUCGCCCGAUCUAGUUACGUCGGAAUUACGGGACAUAAACUACGAGAACGAUAACUGUAAAUCAGGAGAAGAGUACUUACUGAAAGUAGAAGACGCCGGGCGAUCACGAGUAGGGCGAGGAGGAAAUAAAUGCGAGAGCAAUAGCUUGACAACAAUAGCAGAAAAGUACUAGUGAAAAGGGGGACCCCAUAUAUAUAGGAAACACUAAGGGUUCAGAUCCAUUCAAUGCAAUGAUUACUAUCAGGCGCCGUUCCGUCUCCCGAGGUAAUAAUUGCGUCUCCCGCCAAAAGGCCUCAUUAAUGCGCCGCCUCAAGCCUGUGG